rnacentral:rRNA from 1 species
GACGAACCGAGCGAACGUUGUUCGGAAUCACUGGGCUUAAAGGGCGCGUAGGUGGCCAACUAAGUCAGACGUGAAAUCCCUCAGCUUAACUGGGGAACUGCGUCUGAUACUGGAUGGCUUGAGUUUGGGAGAGGGAUGCGGAAUUCCAGGUGUAGCGGUGAAAUGCGUAGAUAUCUGGAGGAACACCGGUGGCGAAGGCGGCAUCCUGGACCAACACUGACACUGAGGAGCGAAAGCCAGGGGAGCAAACGGG